rnacentral:rRNA from 1 species
GGUUCCUGUCCAACGUUAAUCGGGGCAGGGUGAGUCGACCCCUAAGGCGAGGCCGAAAGGCGUAGUCGAUGGGAAACGGGUUAAUAUUCCCGUACUUGGUGUUACUGCGAAGGGGGGACGGAGAAGGCUAUGUUGGCCGGGCGACGGUUGUCCCGGUUUAAGCGUGUAGGUGUGUGUUCCAGGUAAAUCCGGUUCACUUUAACACUGAGGCGUGACGACGAGGCACUACGGUGCUGAAGCAACAAAUGCCCUGCUUCCAGGAAAAGCCUCUAAGCAUCAGGUAACAUCAAAUCGUACCCCAAACCGACACAGGUGGU